UACGAAGGGGGCUAGCGUUGUUCGGAAUUACUGGGCGUAAAGAGCACGUAGGCGGCGCGUUUAGUCAGAGGUGAAAGCCCAGGGCUCAACCCUGGAAUUGCCUUCGAUACUGGGAGUCUUGAGUUCGGAAGAGGUUGGUGGAACUGCGAGUGUAGAGGUGAAAUUCGUAGAUAUUCGCAAGAACACCGGUGGCGAAGGCGGCCAACUGGUCCGAAACUGACGCUGAGGCGCGAAAGCGUGGGGAGCAAACAGGAUUAGAUACCCGAA
rnacentral:rRNA from 1 species